AUUUAUAUAGUUUUAUUUAAAACAUUAUACUUUCAAUAUAAAAUUAUUAAUAAUAAUUAAUUAAUUAUAAAUA
rnacentral:tRNA from 1 species